GGACUGCGUGGUUUGGGGACGCCCAGUCUCAGCCAGGGCCCUGGGCCUAGAGCCCACACUGGUCCCUGGGGGUCCUCCAGCUCCCCCCACCGAGAUGCUCCCACUGCCUCUUCUCUCCCAGGCAGAGCUGACGGAGGUGAAGGCAGAGGGAGACGCGGCCCGGAAGGAGCUCCACCAGGUCUGUAACCCCCGUGAAAACACCGCUUAGGUGGGCAGAGCUGCUGGGUGUGGUGCCAGCCCCCAAGGACGCCUGUGUCCCUGCCUCCCUGGCCCCGGCUGGCCUCGCAGCGCCCUGCAGACUGACUGGGCAUCGCCAGUCCCACCUGGGCUCUUUGCAACGUGGCCCGGUUGCUUUGCAGGAGAAGCAGUCAGCAGCCAAGCUGGCAGAGGCCCUGCGGGAGCAGGCUGAGAUCGAGAAGGUGCUGAGGAAAGAACGCGAGUGCCUCCGGGAGAGACGCGAGGGCCUCCAAGGGCAGACAGUGGGGGGGAAGACGGAGCAGGCGGCCAGGCUGUCCACGUCACUUAUGCGGGAGAUGGUGGCUGUGAAGCUGGUAGGACGGACAAGCCCGACGUGGGCCUUGGGGAAGAAAGGGUGUGCAGGGCACCCGCUGGCUUUGGGGGCACUGGUCUCAGUGGGGAUGAGGGUGGGGGUCUGAGCCCCCAAGGCCCAGCAGUCUUGCCCACACCGACACGUGUCCUGCUGUGCCUUGACCUGCAGGAGGAGCAGCUGGUGGCAAAGAGGCAGGGCAUCACUUUUUGGCUGCAGUGAGUUGCCGCGUGGGGCUCGGCGUGCCAGGGCUCGUGUGCGGGGGGUGGGAUGCCCAGGCUGGCGGUCCCAAGGCAUCCAUCAGCUUCUCCCUUCUCAACACGGACACAGCUCAGGAUCCCUUCUCCCGGGGUUGCGGAGGUGCUGGUUGUUUCUGGGCUCAGUAGGGAGAUGAAGAGCAGAGCCGAGAUGCUUGGGCCCUUAAGCUGAGGCCCAGGAACGGGGCAGG